rnacentral:lncRNA from 1 species
AGCUCGUGAAAGUGAAAGCUUCCUACAAGCUCCCUCCGACUCGCACUGCUCCGGUUAAGAAACCUGAACCUGCUAAGCCUAAAGUCGUUGCCAAGCCGAAAACAGCAAAGGUGGUUGCGAAGCCUAAAGCCAAGGCUGCAGCCAAGCCGAAGCCUAAGGCUGCUGCGAAACCGAAGCCAGCUGUUAAGCCGAAGGCUAAGCCGGCAGAGAAGCCAAAGCCAAAAACGGCUGCUAAACCAAAGCCAGCUGCUACGCCGAAGGCAAAGUCGGCAGUUAAGCCAAAGCCAAAGACGGU